CAAACGUCAGAUGAACAAAUCCAGCUGUCCGGCUCUCUGAUCCUUAGGAUCAGAGAAAUCCUAGAGUUUAGAAGAGAUGAAUUUGAGAAAGCUGAAAGUGGAAAAUGUGAAAUCUCAGUUAUCUGGGAUUAAAAGACACAAUUGAAUCUUCCUGAGAGGACUGCGAACCUAGAGCCUGGAUACUAUUCAUCUAUGAAGGGCGGGAAGACAGAUCUUCUGUAACCGGUAGGACAAUGUAUUUAUUUGUCUUGAACUAAGCAGAGG
rnacentral:lncRNA from 1 species